ensembl:lncRNA
UGCGGUCAGCUGAGCCAAGAGCAGACUCACCCGACGAGCAAAUGGAGUCCAGGCAGCUUUCAGCUGCAGACUCCGAGAGCAGGAAUGAACUGGAGGAAGGGGGCGUGGCCUGUUCCGUGAUAGUGUGUGACAUCCAUCCAAAAGCUCCAGGUGUGAGGGAUGGAAAGAAUGACCCCUGGUCAUGUGACAGCUCUGCAUCUUCCUCUGACAGUGAAGAUGAUGAAAAAGACAAGAAAAAGAAGAAAAAGCUGAAGAAGAAAAGAAGCAAGAAGUCCAGCUCAUCUUCCUCAUCAUCAUCAUCAUCAUCAUCUUCCUCUUCAUCCUCAGACAGUGACAGCAGUGAGGAUGACAAGAAGAAGAAAAAGAAGAAAACCAAGAAAAAGAAAAAGAAGAAAGAUAAGGACUCCAGCUCCUCUUCAUCAUCCGACAGCAGCUCCUCAUCCUCCUCAGACAGCGAUGAUGACAAGAAGAAAAAGAAAAAGAAGAAGAAGAAGAAGAAGAAGAAAGUAAAGGAUUCUUCUUCAUCUUCGUCAUCAAGUAGCUCCUCACAGUCUUCUGACAGCGAUGAUGAGAAGAAGAAGAAGAAAAAGAAGAAGAAGAAGAAGCAUAAGAAAAAGGAGUCCAGCUCCUCUUCAUCAUCCGACAGCAGCUCCUCAUCCUCCUCUUCAGACAGCGAUGAUGACAAGAAGAAGAAGAAGAAGAAGAAGAAAAGUGAAAAAGACAAGAAGGACAAGAAAAAGAAGAAAGACAAGAAGAAAAAGAAGAAGAAAGACAAGAAGAGUAAAAAGGACUCAGGAAAGUCUUCAGGAUCAGAAAACCAUGACGACAAGCAUAAGAAGGCUAAAUCAGAUGAUAAGGGCGGAGAAAACUCCUCGCUGAAGACUGAAGGAGAGUCUGGGGGUUUGGGGUCAUUCAGCACGAGAGAUUUCAGCUGUGGAACUUGUGGCUCUCAGAUUUCUUCAUCUCUAGUUUACUCCAGCCUGCCUUCUGAAACCCUGAACCGCACAGAGAGCAGCAGCGCCUCCCGCAGGCCUCUGACUGCCAUCGAGAGCCUGAUGGGACAUCCUCAGAGAAACACGCUGGAGACAGACAGAGACACGACCAGCAGAUACACCUCACACUUCACAUCGUAACAAACACUUACACAAUAGUACCAUGGCAGUGCCAUGUUUUGGGGGGUUUAGAGUGCUGCAGUGAUGACGUAUGUUUGUAUGUGUUCAUACCAACCCGGUUUCCUUGGACAAAAACACAUUAGGAUUUAUCCACUGGCUUUUGGAGUAUUGCAGAAAAUGAGCUCUGUGAUCAGCAAAAGUGUAUGACUCCUACAUGAUUCUUACAUCACAAAUGUGACCCUGCAGCACAAAAGCAGUCAUAAGUAGCACAGGUAUAUUUGCAGCAAUAGCCAAAAAUACAUUGUAUGGGUCAAAAUUAUACAUUUUUCUUUUAUGCCAAAAAUCAUUAGGAUAUUAAGAUAAGUACAUGUUCCAUGAAGAUAUUUUGUAAAUUUCCUACCGUAAAUAUAUCAAAACUUAAUUUUGGAUUAGUAAUAUGCAUUGCUAAGAACUUCAUUUCGACAACAUUAAAGGUGAUUUUCUCAGUAUUUAGAUUUUUUUGCUCCCUCAGAUUCCAGAUUUUCAAAUAGUUUGUCCAAUAUAUAAAUACUGUCAAUUUCAAAUGGACUCUUAUGACUGGUUUUGUGGUCCAGUGUCACAAAUGAACAACUUAAGGCCUAAAUACAGUCAGCAGAGGUAAAAAGCUUAAACAUAUGCUAUACCCAGCUAAUAAAAAUAUGUUCUAAGAGCA